AGGAGCGGGAGGAGCGGGAGGAGCGGGAGGGGCUGUGCGCAGCCCGCGGACCUGGCCCGACUUCGCCAGCGACUUCCUGGAACAAUAAGCCCCGGGCCUGAGCGCCGUUGGCCCGCCCCGGGCCGAGAGCCGCUGCGCCGCGAACCCUCCCUCGGGCCCGCUGUGGCGGCGGGGCGCUGAGGCGUGACCCGGCGCGCCCCGGGCUUGUUUGCCGGCGACAACGGGGAAACAGCCCGAGCCCGCCGGGACACUAGCCUGCCUGCUCCGCCGCUCUCGAAGACCUGCCCUCCCGGAGCGCCGGAGUCCGCAGCGGCGCCGAGGGCCCCUGCCCCGGGCCUGCGGGCUCUGAGCCCAGUGAAGCCAUUUUACAGAGAAGCAAAUCAAUGCUGGGAAGGACCAACACCUUUACCCAAGAUCCACUGCAAGAGGCAGACCUGGACUCAACUGCAUGGCCACCUGUCACCCAAGUCCAAGCAUUAGCAUCACACCACGCUGCUUAUGGAAGAAGUAUGAGACACACUUCCAACCCCUCCAGUAGCUAACAAGUCUCUGGGAGACAGGAUCAGCAUGAACAGAUUCAGAGGAGGAACAGAGCUAAUGUGUGCUGAAACUUGAUUCUAUGGGAUUUUCAUCAGAACUCAGAGGUUGGCACUUACUGCACGGACCUACUGUAUGAAGCAGGUGGAUUGGCCAGCACAAGGGGUUGCUGUGGUGCAUCGCCCCAAUUCCCCUUCUGGACCCAAGCCACGCGGCAUGUGUGACACUAGUUCCCCGACCAGGGAUUGAACCCGCGCCCCCUGCAUUGGAAACUUGGAGUCUUAACCACUGGACCGCGAGGGAAGUCCCUGUAUCAUAUUUUAGAUCUCACAUGGGAAUCAGAUCCUGGUUUGAAGACCACACAUCUUGGUCAUAGUGGAGCUGGUGAAGAGAUAUUGCCUCUUCACUCUACCAGAUCCAGAAGGAAUUGGAGGUAAAUCCCUCGGCCAGAAAGGGGAGGGACUAUGACUUUUUAAUGAGUAAUUAAUAAUAAUAAUAAUAAUACCUUUUCUUCUUAAUUUAUUCAUAGGUUUCGUGAAUAAACUAGAUACUAUUACUUUUUA